CCUACGGGUGGCAGCAGUAGGGAAUCUUUCACAAUGGGCGAAAGCCUGAUGGAGCAACGCCGCGUGCAGGAUGAAGGCCUUCGGGUUGUAAACUGCUUUUAUAAGCGAGAAAUAUGAUGGUAACUUAUGAAUAAGGAUCGGCUAACUACGUGCCAGCAGCCGCGGUCAUACGUAGGAUCCGAGCAUUAUCCGGAGUGACUGGGUGUAAAGAGUUGCGUAGGUGGCAUAAUAAGUAGCUAGUGAAAUCUGGUGGCUCAACCAUUCAGACUAUUAGCUAAACUGUUAAGCUCGAGACCGUUAGGGGUAACUGGAAUUUCUAGUGUAGGAGUGAAAUCCGUAGAUAGUAGAAGGAACACCAAUAGCGUAGGCAGGUUGCUGGGACGGUUCUGACACUAAGGCACGAAAGCGUAGGGAGCAAACGGGAUUAGAGACCCGAGUAGUC
rnacentral:rRNA from 1 species